UCUAGGUGGGGACCCCACCAGUACCACAACAUUCUCCGUGGAUACCUCCUAGGGGCCCCAGGCGGCCUCAGGCAAUGAGGAGGACAUUGUUGAUGAGGAAGAGGAGGAGGAAAAUGCACAGCAGGCAAGCGUUGGAUCCAUUCUUCCCGACAGCCAGGACCUUUUCCUAACUCUGGAGCCAGUCCCCUCCCAGGGCCUAUUGUUGCGGGACUGUGAUGGCCGGGAAAGGCACCUCUGCAGCAACCUUGUCUGCGGGUGCUCCCUCCAUACCAGCACAAAGGCUGUCCCAGCUUAGAAGGUGAAAAAAGCGGACAAGGGAAGACAUGUUCUGCGAUUUGAUGCGUUCCUCCGAGGCUGACAGGGCCCAGCUAAAUGCAUGGAGGCUUAUACUGUGGAGAGCAUGCGCACCGACCACGAGGGCCGGAAAGCAUGCAGGGGACAAGGGCGUAACACGCAAGAGGAGAUGGUGCGGCUUAUGGGGGAGCAAGCAGCUAGACCUUAGAGUCCUACUGCACCCAAAGAUGAACCAGCUGCCCUCCUCACCAAGUUCCACAUCCUCCUCUCCCAGACGUCCUAGAAUGCGGGGGGAGAGCUCCAUUAUCCCUUGAACUCAACUCCAGGGAAUGGUUCAUGGAGCAGAAGGCUCUCAUUCCCACAACUGCUAGACAGUGCAGUUGUAAUAAGCUACAUGUCCUUGCCCCUCCCGCCUUGUGUUAUCAGGCCCUUAGACCCGGGUUAUCUUUGCUAUUCAUCACUGUCUCUGUUCAGUGUUUGUGAGCAUAAUAAAAAUGCAUGGAUUGAG